UACGAAGGGGGCUAGCGUUGCUCGGAAUCACUGGGAGUAAAGAGCUCGUAGGCGGUCUGUCGCGUCUGCUGUGAAAACUCAGGGCUUAACCCUGAGCUUGCAGUGGGUACGGGCAGACUAGAGUGCGGUAGGGGAGACUGGAAUUCCUGGUGUAGCGGUGAAAUGCGCAGAUAUCAGGAGGAACACCGGUGGCGAAGGCGGCCUUCUGGACAGUGACUGACGCUGAGACGCGAAAGCGUGGGGAGCAAACAGG
rnacentral:rRNA from 1 species